CCCUAAGCCACCCGACAACUUCUCCUCUCCCCCAAACCGACGGCACCGAGCCGCCGAUGCAACUCUUCCCCUUCUCCACGAGUACAAAGCCUCAAGCCGAUCUCGAUUCCUCUCUUCUCUCCCAUCACCCUCUUUGUCUAGUCUAGUUCCUCGGCCACCACCCGACGCCACUGCAGUUGCGCGUCAUCGCCAUCGUAGUCGCACGUCAUCACCAGCUUCCCACUUCACUGGAAACUGAGCACCCGAGUUCCUUUUCGGUCGUGCCCUAGAUCUGUCUGACUCGCGUCAUCCCCACUGUGUGCUAACAGCCGGCAUCGUUGUUCAUCCACACGAGCAGUCGACGCCGAGGACCCCUCUCUUUCUUCUCCCUUCCCCCUCACUAUGGUCACAUCUCUGUUGUUACCCCAUUCCCUAAAUCUGAUCUCUAUCUACGAGUAAGGAAUUGUUCACAGCCAGCACCUUUCUGUGCUACUCAGAUCAGGAGCCCUUGGAGAGUCGCCUCCUGAUCACCUUGGUUCAUUACUGCCUUUCCUUUGCACGAGGUCGAGUUAGUGAUGUUGCAACCACUUGUUGAGUGAGAGUUGCUGAUCAGAGUCACUGCUGGAGCAACGAAUAGCCACUGGAGAAGGAGGAGGCAUGGAGGGUUGCAGAUUUCAUCAGUUGCAUUAAUGCUCGGCUGAUUUUAGGAUAGCAAGUGCUAAUUUGGAAUACUUGGCAGAGGCAGUAGCUUUGCCUAAUUUCUAUCGUAACUUCCAACUUCUCUGGAGUCAACAGAGAUUCAACUCCGAUGAAGAAGAGGAGGCAGUGGAAGACCUGCAACCGCUCAGCGACUGGUUUGUGAGAGGGCAGUCAGCUUCUACGAUCGGGAGGCGACAGUGGCGUCGGGUGUAGGGCAGCGCAGCAGGACCACACUGUCAGGGCGAUCAACGCACAAGCAUCAGAUCUAGGGUUCGGCUGGCCGAUCGUGGACCUCGGCAUCGUGGUCGGCGGCUCUUGGGCAGAGACGGAAGAGGAGAGAAAGAGGAAGGAGACGAGAAUCGGGGCAGAGGUGAUCGACGUCGAUGCCUGGCGACCGGUAAAUGGUGGUGCGACCUCAGGUGGCGGCGGCGAGUUUCUGGUGUCCGCAAGGAAAAGGGAGCAGGAGCUCGGCCGGUGGUGGCUCGAGUGUCGCCGGCGCCGCGAUGAAGAAGGGGGGAGGUCGGCGCGAGCUCGGGGAAGAGGAAGAGAAGAGGAAGGUGUGGCGGUGAAGGAGAAGAGGAGGAGUUUGGCGAUUUGGGAGAGGAUGGAACGUGCGAGGGAAGGUUAGGGCACGGGAGAGAAAAGAAAAAAAAACAUUUAAGGAAAUUAGACAUUUCCUCGUAAUCGGAUAAGUUAAACAGAUUUUACCCAGAUCAAGUAAUUCAUCCUCUUAAUCUA